CAAGAAAACGAAAACGUGGAUAAUGAGGAACAAUGUUUCUGCAUAACAUAUUCUGCAUAACAUAUAGUGAAAAAAUCAGAGUUUGCUGAUGCAGAAUCAGAGGAAACAUAACCUCAAGACCAAUUCGAGGUAAUUUAAGCAGGGAAAAAAAAAACAUCUGUGCAUCGAUGUCAAAUUAAUAGUCCUGUAAAAGGAGGGCAGGAAGAAAAGGUAGAGCAAAUUAAGGAAAGAAGAAGAGGCAAUAUCUGAAAAACAUGUCUAUAUGAAGCUGAGGACCUUACAGACAUGUUUAAAAAGAAAAAUGGAGGAGAGGGGAAGGGGAAGAAGUGGUAUUUUGGAAAUGACAAACAGAGGUAGGACAAUACAUGACAGGCCUCUGGGGAGUCACAGCUAAAUCCUUGGAGACUCCAGGAAACAGCUGAACCCAGGAGAAGGCAGAUGGGGAGGUGCUGCUGGGGACAGUGCUGUGGUGGCACAAGGACUAUGGUGACAUCACUGAGCAACAGACUGUGAUGCCACCAAGCUUUGGGCGCUGGCAGGGCCUGGCCCAGUCAGUCUCGUGCCUGGACUCCUGCCGAGCGAGUGUGUGAGGCUUGGAGGUGGAGCGAGGAUUUUGCUCGUGUGUUGGGCUGUGCUUUGGGGACUGCUGGCAGCUGCUUUCAGUGCCCAUCCCUACAGCCAUCACCUGUAAUCCCCUGGCCUGCCUGGCUCAGGCAGCCGGGGCCCCACAAAGUGCACGUGCAGCAGCACAGGUGAGCCGGGUGAGAAUACAUCCCACAGGGUGGCAAUGGGGUAAUCGAAGGAACAAGGGGAGCUGCCAGGGCCAGGGCUGAAGUCUGACCCAGCGAGGGUGUGGGGCAUGCGGCAACACAGGAGUGGGUCAGGGAGGAUAGACUGCUGAGGGACCCAGGGGAAGUUCCUGUUGGAUAUCAGGAAAAAACUUAUAAAGAGUGGCAAUGCAUUGGAACAGUCUGCACAGGGAAGUCGUGGUGUCACCAUUUCUCGAGGCCAGGGAUCAAGAAAGAUGUAGGGGUGACACUGAGGGACAUGGCUUAGCCGACAUGGUGGUAAUGGGUUGAUGGUUGGAUCAGAUGAAGUCAGAAAUCUUUUACAACCUUAACGAUUCUAUAGUUUUAUGACCGGGACAUUUCUUCUAUCUGUUCCUGGGACAAAGAAUGACCACGAUCUCUCUCCCUCUUGCAGUGCUCAACUUUCAACACUGAGGCACUGGUGAGGGAAAGCAAUUCAUCUUCAUUCCCCAUCAGGCCACAGAGUGAAGACC
rnacentral:lncRNA from 1 species